UACGUAGGGUGCGAGCGUUAAUCGGAAUUACUGGGCGUAAAGCGUGCGCAGGCGGCGCGUUAAGACAGGUGUGAAAGCCCCGAGCUUAACUUGGGAAUUGCGCUUGUGACUGGCGUGCUGGAGUGUGGCAGAGGGGAGGUGGAAUUCCACGUGUAGCAGUGAAAUGCGUAGAGAUGUGGAGGAACACCGAUGGCGAAGGCAGCCCUUCUGGGCCAACACUGGACGCUCAUGCACGAAAGCGUGGGGA
rnacentral:rRNA from 1 species